UACGGAGGGCGCAAGCGCUGUUCGGAAGCAUUGGGCGUAAAGCGCGUGCAGGCGGCUUGGUAAGUCGGGUGGGAAAGCCCGGGGCUCAACCCCGGAACUGCACCCGAUUCUGCCUCGCUAGAGUCUCGGAGAGGAUGGCGGAAUGUCCGGUGUAGAGGUGAAAUUCGUAGAUAUCGGAAGGAACACCUGCGGCGAAGGCGGCCAUCUGGACGGUGCCUGACGCUCAGACGCGAAAGCGUGGGGAGCAAACACG
rnacentral:rRNA from 1 species